rnacentral:rRNA from 1 species
CACGUAGGGGGCAAGCGUUGUCCGGAAUUAUUGGGCGUAAAGAGCUCGUAGGCGGCUCGGUAAGUCAGGUGUCAAAUCCUCAGGCUCAACCUGGGGCUCCACCUGAUACUGCUGUGGCUAGAGUCCGGAAGAGGCAAGUGGAAUUCCCGGUGUAGCGGUGAAAUGCGCAGAUAUCGGGAGGAACACCAAUGGCGAAGGCAGCUCUCUGGGACGGUACUGACGCUGAGACGCGAAAGCGUGGGGAGCGAACAGG